AGAGAAUGGAGCCUGGGGGUGCCCGGGAGAGGCAGAGGUGGAAAGCUGGGCUGCCCCUUCUCUUUUUCCUUCUCUCAAACUCCUUGUACCUUUCCAUGAUAACCCCAAUUUCCCUGGGAAUUAUUUUAUCUACUUAUUUCCUUUUUUUUUCUCUCUGAGAAAGUAAACCCCAAAGGAGAAGGGGUCGCACCUGUAUUAUUCGCUGCAGUAUCCCAGAAGCACAGUGCUUCACAGUGUAGUCCAGUUUCUUGGCUGCAAGUAAAAGAAGCUACCUCUAAGAAGCUUAGCACGAAAGAUAAUUUGUUGGAAGAAUCUCACAUAAUCUAAAGAAGAGCUGAAAGAUUCAGUCUUAAGAACGGUAAGGAUCCCACUGGGUUUAAGGAAAUAUUGGAACGAACGCCUCAGGACCAGUUAUGUAAUUUGCAGUGUCCUUUGCUGGAAAAUGAUUGAGAGCUUCAAGAUGGCCACAGCAGAACAUUAAACCAAGUACGGGACCUUAUGAGACUGCAUGGACCACAUGCCCAUGAAGCUGGCCCUGCAAGGAGUUGGGCCCAUUGACCUCUCUGUGCCUUUCACCUCUGCUUCUCUUUCCUUCACUCUCUCCUAUGAUAAAGCAAUUCUUCCACAUUGCAGAGGACACAACCACUGACAGAUUCCAAGUUAAGACUUUGGGGAUUUUAUCAUCAGAAAAGACGGACUUCUCCCUGUUCUAGUUAGAUGCCCACAAAUCCCAGGAACAGACUCUGAUUGGUCUCACUUGGGUUGGGUUCCCACCUAUGAGCCAUCAGACAUGGCUUAUAACAUAUGGGAGCUUCCAUUUGAACCUCAUGGAUGGAGCUGGUCGGGGGGAAGUGGGGGCUGGGUAGGAAGAGCAGGUACCAAAAGAAGCACAUGCUCUUCCUUAUAAGAACAGGGUAAUGCUGAGCAGACAGAACAACAGAUGGACAUUAGACAGGUCCAUUAGUGCUGACUCUAUAGGAGAGAGGAAGCAUUUUGAACUCCCUUCAGUUUUGCCAACUGAAUAGGCCACAGAUCCUGCUAUAGUUACAGGCCUCCACUAGCUCAUUCAUUACUGCCAGGUCCAUCUUAUUAUUUGCUAAAAUAUCCCUUCACCUCUGUGUAGAUAGAAUUAGUAUCUCACUUGCAGACACUCUUGUGUUUACAAACUGUGGGUUACAACACAUUAGUGAGUGAUGAAGUUGGUUUAGUGAGUUACAAACAACUUCAAAAAAAUAGAACAGCAGAUAAUUGAAGAGAAAGUAUCAUCAGUAAGGGGAAGUACUGUUACUUCAUAAAGUUGUUUAUAAAGUUGUAAAAAGUUUACUUCAUAAAGUUGUAAAACUAAAUAUAGUAUAUAUAUGAUAAAGGAAUACCAGAUCAUUCUGGGUUUGCAAUAUGACAUAUUUUCUUGCUUGGAUUAUGGUAAAAAAUAAAGGCAGUCUGACAUAUA